UACGGAGGGGGCUAGCGUUGUUCGGAAUUACUGGGCGUAAAGCGCACGUAGGCGGCUUUGUAAGUUAGAGGUGAAAGCCCGAGGCUCAACCUCGGAACUGCCUUCGAUACUGCGGGUCUCGAGUCCGGGAGAGGUGAGUGGAAUUCCUAGUGUAGAGGUGAAAUUCGUAGAUAUUAGGAAGAACACCAAUUGCGAAGGCAGCUUACUAAAG
rnacentral:rRNA from 1 species